AGUGAACGCUGGCGGUAGGCCUAACACAUGCAAGUCGAACGGCAGCACAGUAAGAGCUUGCUCUUACGGGUGGCGAGUGGCGGACGGGUGAGGAAUACAUCGGAAUCUACUUUUUCGUGGGGGGUAACGUAGGGAAACUUACGCUAAUACCGCAUACGACCUACGGGUGAAAGCAGGGGAUCUUCGGACCUUGCGCGAUUGAAUGAGCCGAUGUCGGAUUAGCUAGUUGGCGGGGUAAAGGCCCACCAAGGCGACGAUCCGUAGCUGGUCUGAGAGGAUGAUCAGCCACACUGGAACUGAGACACGGUCCAGACUCCUACGGGAGGCAGCAGUGGGGAAUAUUGGACAAUGGGCGCAAGCCUGAUCCAGCCAUACCGCGUGGGUGAGGAAGGCCUUCGGGUUGUAAAGCCCUUUUGUUGGGAAAGAAAAGCAGCAGGUUAAUACCCCGCUGUUCUGACGGUACCCAAAGAAUAAGCACCGGCUAACUUCGUG
rnacentral:rRNA from 1 species